rnacentral:rRNA from 1 species
GAUGAACGCUAGCUACAGGCUUAACACAUGCAAGUCGAGGGGUAGCAGGGUAGCAAUACCGCUGACGACCGGCGCACGGGUGAGUAACACGUAUCCAACCUUCCCAUAACUCGGGGAUAGCCUUUCGAAAGAAAGAUUAAUACCCGAUAGUACUUAACAAAGGCAUCUUUGAUAAGUUAAAGAUUUAUUGGUUAUGGAUGGGGAUGCGUUCCAUUAGAUAGUUGGUGAGGUAACGGCUCACCAAGUCUUCGAUGGAUAGGGGUUCUGAGAGGAAGGUCCCCCACAUUGGAACUGAGACACGGUCCAGACUCCUACGGGAGGCAGCAGUGGGGAAUAUUGCACAAUGGGCGCAAGCCUGAUGCAGCCAUGCCGCGUGUAUGAAGAAGGCCUUCGGGUUGUAAAGUACUUUCAGCGGGGAGGAAGGCGGUGAAGUUAAUAGCUUCACCGAUUGACGUUACCCGCAGAAGAAGCACCGGCUAACUCCGUGCCAGCCGCCGCGGUAA